rnacentral:tRNA from 1 species
GCCGCCAUAGCUCAGUCGGUUAGGGCGUGGGUCUAAUAAGCCCAAGGUCGCAGGUUCGACCCCUGCUGGGGGCA